GAUGAACGCUGGCGGCGUGCUUAACACAUGCAAGUCGAACGGUGAAAGAGAGCUUGCUCUCUGGAUCAGUGGCGAACGGGUGAGUAACACGUGAGCAAUCUGCCCCUGACUCUGGGAUAAGCGCUGGAAACGGCGUCUAAUACCGGAUACGAGCUGCGAAGGCAUCUUCAGCAGCUGGAAAGAACUUCGGUCAGGGAUGAGCUCGCGGCGUAUCAGCUAGUUGGUGAGGUAAUGGCUCACCAAGGCGUCGACGGGUAGCCGGCCUGAGAGGGUGACCGGACACACUGGGACUGAGACACGGCCCAGACUCCUACGGGAGGCAGCAGUGGGGAAUAUUGCACAAUGGGCGCAAGCCUGAUGCAGCAACGCCGCGUGAGGGACGACGGCCUUCGGGUUGUAACCCCCUUCUCGCAGGGACGAAGCUAAAGUGACGGUACCUGCAGAAAAAGCACCGGCUAACUACGUGCCAGCCGCCGCGGUAAUAC
rnacentral:rRNA from 1 species